rnacentral:rRNA from 1 species
ACUCAAAGGAAUUGACGGGACCCCGCACAAGCGGUGGAUCAUGUUGUUUAAUUCGACGAUACGCGAAAAACCUUACCAGGCCUUGACAUCCCGUGCAAUGCUUAAGAAAUUAAGCGGAGGUUAUCACGGUGACAGGUGGUGCAUGGUUGUCGUCAGCUCGUGUCGUGAGAUGUUCGGUUAAGUCCGCUAACGAGCGCAACCCUUAUCCUUAGUUGCUAAACAUUUUAUGUAGGACUUUAAGGAGACUGCCCUUACGGGAGGAAGGUGGGGAUGACGUCAAAUCAUCAUGCCCCUUACGGCCUGGGCUACAAACGUGAUACAAUGGCUGGUCAACAAAGAGAUGCCAACCCGCGAGGGGGAGCCAAUCUCAAAAAAACAGUCUCAGUUCGGAUUGAAGUCUGCAACUCGACUUCAUGAAGCCGGAAUCGCUAGUAAUCGCAAAUCAGAAUGUUGCGGUGAAUACGUUCUCGGGGUUUGUACACACCGCCCGU